AACGAACGCUGGCGGCAUGCCUAACACAUGCAAGUCGAACGAGACCUUCGGGUCUAGUGGCGCACGGGUGGGUAACGCGUGGGAAUCUACCCUUGGGUUCGGAAUAACAGUUAGAAAUGACUGCUAAUACCGGAUGAUGACGUAAGUCCAAAGAUUUAUCGCCCAAGGAUGAGCCCGCGUAAGAUUAGCUUGUUGGUGGGGUAAUGGCCUACCAAGGCGACGAUCUUUAGCUGGUCUGAGAGGAUGAUCAGCCACACUGGGACUGAGACACGGCCCAGACUCCUACGGGGGGCAGCAGUGGGGAAUAUUGGACAAUGGGCGAAAGCCUGAUUCAGCAAUGCCGCGUGAGUGAUGAAGGCCUUAGGGUUGUAAAGCUCUUUUACCAGGGAUGAUAAUGACAGUACCUGGAGAAUAAGCUCCGGCUAACUCCGUGCCAGCCGCCGCCGUAA
rnacentral:rRNA from 1 species